rnacentral:lncRNA from 1 species
AUGCAUUCCAAACCAGGAAAAUUAUAUGAUGAAUAUAGUGUAACAUCAAAUCACAGCAAAAAGUCAUCGCAUCCUGAAGUAAUUUACUCAAGUAUACCUGUAAGUGUCAGACCUAUGAAAACAAAUACUGCUAAGGAAUGGUCAGCACCAGUCAAUGAAGUAUCUGGCCAUAAUAAUGAUACAUCAGAACUUCAAAAAGUGAUGAAACGUCAGACAGAUAUCACAGCAAUGCUUGUGAAGAAUCAACAGAUGUCUUGUCUACCUCAACGUGAUGUUCCUUUGUUUCAUGGAGAUCCACUUGAGUUCAGGUCUUUUAUGAAAGCAUUCAAACAUUCUUUCGACUCCAGAGCUGACAGUAGUGCUGACAAGUUAUACUUCCUGGAGCAGUAUACCAGAGGUGAGCCCAGAGACCUUGUAAGAAGUUGUCAGCAUAUGCCAGAUGAUCGUGGUUAUGCAAAAGCAAUGAGGCUCUUGCACGAGAAGUUUGGAAAUGAACUGCAAAUUGCAACAGCCUUAAUGCAAAAGACAUUCAGAUGGCCUGAAAUAAAGUCAGAGGAUGGAAAGUCUUUAAGCGCAAUUUCAUUGUUCCUAGUCACUUGCCGCAACGUAAUGGAGGACAUUGAAUAUAUGGAUGAGUUGGAUAAUCCUACCAACAUGAGGAUUAUUAUCUCAAAGCUGCCCUACAAGUUGCGUGAAAAAUGGAGAGCACAUGCUUACGAGUAUGAGGAGCGCAACAGAAGAAGAGCCAAGUUCAUUCAGUUGGUGGAGUUUGUUGAUCGCCAAGCAAAGGUAAUAUCAAACCCACUUUUUGGAGAUCUGGAUGCUUUGGCAGGUGAUAAAAAACACACCAACAAGUCUCUUCAAGGACCUAAGCUUAAAAGAGAAGCAAAAAGAAUCAGCAGUUUUGUAACUGACGUCAAACAGGUUGGUGAAACUCAAAAAGACUUGACUAUGUUGAAAACCAACAGUAUAUCAGUCACCAGUGCCUACACAAAACCUUGUGCAUUCUGUGAGAAAGGUCAUACCUUGGAGCAAUGUUACCAGUUCAGUGCUAAGGCAUAUAAAGACAAAUUGGACUUUUUAAAGGCAUAUAAAGACAAAUUGGACUUUUUAAGAAAGAGUGGAUUUUUGCUUUGGAUGCUUAGUGAAAGGACAAUUAAGCAAAGACUGUAA